rnacentral:rRNA from 1 species
UGGGGAAUUUUCCGCAAUGGGCGCAAGCCUGACGGAGCAAGACCGCGUGCGGGAGGACGGCCUAUUGGUUGUAAACCGCUUUUGAUAGGGAAGAAGUACUGACGGUACCUAUCGAAUCAGCAUCGGCUAACUCCGUGCCAGCAGCCGCGGUAAUACGGAGGAUGCAAGCGUUAUCCGGAAUUAUUGGGCGUAAAGCGUCCGUAGGUGGUUGUUCAAGUCUGCUGUUAAAGCGUGCGGCUUAACCGCAUACCAGCAGUGGAAACUGGACGACUAGAGUGCGGUAGGGGUCAGGGGAAUUCCCAGUGUAGCGGUGAAAUGCGUAGAUAUUGGGAAGAACACCGGUGGUGAAAGCGCCUGACUGGACCUGCACUGACACUGAGGGACGAAAGCUAGGGGAGCGAAUGGGAUUA